GUCAAGUGUAUGCUAAUGUAGCCCAGCACCCAAGGUCCACAGAAAAGGUUACUGAAUCUACUCUUUUACCCAAACUUUCUCACUGACACUUUACUUUGAGACAGCAGUAGCCUGCUUCUGAUGCCUCUGGCCUGAUGCUCCUACAUCCACCACCUGUCCAGUCCAAUUCUGCAAGGCUAAAUACAUUAGACUAGACAAGCACCUGCAAAAAAUCCACAAACUUGAGAAACCUACCAUCACUCUCCAUGUAGAGAGGAUAGAUAUGUUACAAAGGAACUGGCAUUAGAGAGCUUCAAACCUGCUUUUCAAGCCAAGCCAAACCAAAUGUGUGCCUCCUUCAAAAUCUUCUAGUCAGGCCCAGAAGAGGGCGUGAGCUUGCCAGCCCAAAUUGCUUUCUCCUUGUCACUCUGCAGUCAAGACUCUUUGUGCACAUUUCACUCCAAAAAGGCCUCCCCCUAAGUCUCCCAAUGAGCCUGGCACCUCAGGUAUGCAUUUUCAUUUGUCAGCAAAAUGGCCAUAAAGCGAGCCACCCAUAUGAUCCACUUCCAGGAAUUCAUGGCAGACCCGGUUCUUUUUCUUCAAACCCCUGUAGAGUCCGCAUUUUCGUUGCACACCUUCAGGAAAGGCAGUUAAAGCCAACAACCCAGAAACUGUAUUUGCUGGAUGUAGUGGUUUUCCUGAAAUACAUCAUGAAUGUUUCACCACCAUCUGUCAGACUUGGGACUGAAGGGAUCAAUGCUCUCAUGGUGGAGUUGAGGGCUUGUCUAAGAUUUUGGGCGGGACGUAGUUGUACACCAGCUCAAAGUGCGCCGAUCAAAGUGCGAUAGACUUGUUGAUGCCGGAAAACACCAUUUGUUCAUUGAGGCGACUUCUGAAACUAUUGCUGCAGCACUUGGAUAAGACUAGACCAGCUCCACAUCUCCAACUGCAUACAUCAAUUGUUCCAGUGAUUCUGGUGACUCUAAACUCCCAAGGAUCAAAGGAUCACAGUUCGAGGCCCUACUGGUGUAAGAGCACCCUAGCUCUUUGGCUUUUUUUUUCAACCUCUCGAUGCAGGAUACCUUCGUAGGAACAGGAAGUGUCCUGGAAGGUCACUCGCAAAAUUCAUGGAACCAGUAAGGUGAAGAGGAUGAUAUUCUAUCAGCCAAGUCUCUUUAAAGCCACCUCACAAACAUCUGGAGCCCUGGGUGAAGAGGGAGGAGGAGUAAAGUUGAAGGAUGGGCAGAAGAAGCAGACAUACAAGAGGAGGUUUUAAAGAAAAGGAACCGG